AACCUAGCACACCUGCGGUGUGUACCUGCGGAAGGAUCAUUAACAAGCUGUGGGAGAUCGAUCAAUUUGAUCUCACACCUGGCCAACCUUGUUAACCUUAAAUAUAUUGCUUUGGUGAGCCCUGCUCACCAAAGUCAAACCCUAAACUCUUGAUUGUUUCUGCUGUCUGAGCAUGCAAGUGCAAAAUUUAGUUAAAAACUUUCAACAACGGAUCU
rnacentral:misc_RNA from 1 species